CCAUACUAAAGAACGAGAGUUGUUUAGCAUUCUUUUCAGAAAAAAGUACCUUGAUGAAGGUACUGAUGCCUUUAAUAUAGAACUUAUGAAGUUUGACAGGUAGAAAAACUGACACAAUCUGGUGAACCCAAAGAAUCAGAUUUGAUUAGAUCAAACCUGAAAUCCAUUGUAAAGGCACCAUUAAAGAGAUCCAGUAGAGUAUCGUGUCUGUUGGAUAGAUACUUCAGUAUCUAGAUCGAAAACGUGAUUAUGUUGAACUCGAUGAGAACAAUAAGGAUC
rnacentral:lncRNA from 1 species